AUACGAAGGGGGCAAGCGUUACUCGGAAUUAUUGGGCGUAAAGAGUGCGUAGGCGGCUUUGCAAGUUGAAAGUGAAAGCCUUCGGCUCAACCGGAGAAUUGCUUACAAAACUGCAAGGCUAGAGUAUUAGAGAAGAUAGAAGAAUUUCUGAUGUAGGAGUGAAAUCCGUAGAUAUCAGAAGGAACAUCGAAGGCGAAAGCAUCUGUCUGGCUAAAUACUGACGCUGUUGCACGAAAGCGUGGGGAGCAAACAGGAUUAGAUACCCUGGUAGUCCACGCAGUAAACGAUGAGCGCUAGAUAUCAGGACUAUGUUUUGGUGUCGAAGCUAACGCGAUAAGCGCUCCGCCUGAGAACUACGAUCGCAAGGUUAAAACUCAAAGGAAUUGACGGGGACCCGCACAAGCGGUGGAACAUGUGGUUUAAUCGAUGCUAGCGAAAUACCUUACCAAGUCUUGACAUGUUGGUCAUAUGGUUAGGAAACUAACUAGUCAGUUCGGCUGGACC
rnacentral:rRNA from 1 species